UCCCUGGUAGUAUAUCGGUUAGUACACGCGCCUGUCAUUGUAUUUGGCAGGACCGCGUGAAAGCGGGGUUCGACUCCCCGCCAGGGAG